GGGAAAAUUAACUAACGAACGGAGAUGUAACAAUAUAAUAGUAUUGUUUUAAGCUGCAUUUUCAAUGUUGUAAUUAAUUGUUUGCUAGAGAGAGCUGUUGGUUGUAAUAAUUGUGCUAUGAUGGAGAGGCUGAGGGAAGCACCUAGAAUUUAGAAACGAGGAUAUAGAUGUAAAUAGGAGUAGACAGUUCAGAGAUAGUAAAUGAUUAUUCAGUGACGUUGUGAGUUACGUAUUUGAUUCUCCGACAAAGUAGUAACUGAAGGAGGCAUAUAUCUGUUUUUAGAGCAAUUCAUAUAUCUUCUGUUUAUGUUAACUGUUACGAAGUCCAUACAAUGCCAAUAACUGAUGAGCCCUGGUAUUGGACAGAAGACCUCGUCAACAAUGGAUAUGUGCCUUCAGGUGGUGAACUCCUACCCUACGGUGUCCAGAACGCAAGGACUGGACUGACUUGCCUGAGUGUACUGACC